rnacentral:rRNA from 1 species
AAUUUUGGACAAUGGGGGAAACCCUGAUCCAGCCAUCCCGCGUGUGCGAGGAAGGCCUUCGGGUUGUAAAGCACUUUUGGAGGGGAAGAAACGGCACCGGCUACUACCGGGUGUCACUGACGUUACCUGCAGCAUAAGCACCGCGUAACUACGGCGCAGCAGCCGCGGUAAUAGGUAGGGUGCAAGCGGUAAUCGGAAUUACUGGGCGUAAAGCGUGCGCAGGCAGUUUGGAAAGAAAGAUGAUAAAUCCCAGAGCUUGACUUUGGAACUGCAUUUGUAACUGCCAAGCUAGAGUAUGUCAGGGGGGGGUAGAAUUCCACGUGUAGCAGUGAAAUGCGUAGAGAUGUGGAGGAAUACCGAUGGCGAAGGCAGCCCCCUGGGAUAAUACUGACGCUCAUGCACGAAAGCGUGGGGAGCAAACAGG